rnacentral:rRNA from 1 species
UACCUACGGGGGGCAGCAGUGGGGAAUAUUGCACAAUGGGGGAAACCCUGAUGCAGCGACGCCGCGUGAGCGAAGAAGUAUUUCGGUAUGUAAAGCUCUAUCAGCAGGGAAGAAAAUGACGGUACCUGACUAAGAAGCCCCGGCUAAAUACGUGCCAGCAGCCGCGGUAAUACGUAUGGGGCAAGCGUUAUCCGGAUUUACUGGGUGUAAAGGGAGCGCAGGCGGCUUGGCAAGUCAGUGGUCAAAUUGCGGGGCUCAACCCCGUACUGCCGUUGAACCUGCAUCCCUUGAGUGCGCGAGAAGUA